AUACCCUAUUAUUUUUAAUGUAAAAUUUUAUACUGGAGUAUUAAUAGUUAUGUUCUUUAAACUUAAAGAAUUUGGCGGUAUUAUAGUCUAUUUAGAGGAAUCUGCUAUUUAAUCGAUAGUCCCCGUUGAACCUUACUUUUGUUAUUUCUUGUAUAUCGCUGUUUAUGAAAAUAUUUAUAGAUUAUUUUCUGGAUAAGUUAUUAAUUAGUAUUUCAAGUCAAGGUGCAGUUAUAUAAAAGUUUAAUAGUGGAUUACAAUAAGCUUUAUUUAAACGGAUUAUUAUUUAAAAUUAAUUUGAAGGUGGAUUUAAUUGUAAUUUUAUGAAGAUUAUUAAGAUGAUUAUUAGCUCUAUAAUAUGUACACAUCGCCC
rnacentral:rRNA from 1 species